AUUGAACGCUGGCGGCAGGCUUAACACAUGCAAGUCGAGCGGAGAUGAGGUGCUUGCGCCUUAUCUUAGCGGCGGACGGGUGAGUAAUGCUUAGGAAUCUGCCUAUUAGUGGGGGACAACAUUCCGAAAGGAAUGCUAAUACCGCAUACGCCCUACGGGGGAAAGCAGGGGAUCUUCGGACCUUGCGCUAAUAGAUGAGCCUAAGUGGGAUUAGCUAGUUGGUGGGGUAAAGGCCUACCAAAGCGACGAUCUGUAGCGGGUCUGAGAGGAUGAUCCGCCACACUGGGACUGAGACACGGCCCAGACUCCUACGGGAGGCAGCAGUGGGGAAUAUUGGACAAUGGGCGGAAGCCUGAUCCAGCCAUGCCGCGUGUGUGAAGAAGGCCUUUUGGUUGUAAAGCACUUUAAGCGAGGAGGAGGCUACCUGGAUUAAUACUCUAGGAUAGUGGACGUUACUCGCAGAAUAAGCACCGGCUAACUCUGUGCCAGCCGCCGCGGUAAAAC
rnacentral:rRNA from 1 species